rnacentral:rRNA from 1 species
UACGUAGGGACCAAGCGUUGUUCGGAUUUACUGGGCGUAAAGGGCGCGUAGGCGGCAUGACAAGUCACUUGUGAAAUCUCCGGGCUUAACUCGGAACGGCCAAGUGAAACUGUCAAGCUAGAGUGCAGAAGGGGCAAUCGGAAUUCUUGGUGUAGCGGUGAAAUGCGUAGAUAUCAGGAGGAAUACCGAUGGCGAAGGCAGGUCUCUGGGCUGACACUGACGCUCAUGCACGAAAGCGUGGGGAGCAAACAGG